UACCAUGCAAGUCGAACGGAGUUAUAUUGUAGCCUGCUAUGGUAUAACUUAGUGGCAGACGGGUGAGUAAUGUAUAGGAAUCUACCUAGUAGUACGGAAUAAUUGUUGGAAACGGCAACUAAUACCGUAUACGCCCUACGGGGGAAAAAUUUAUUGCUAUUAGAUGAGCCUAUAUUAGAUUAGCUAGUUGGUGGAGUAAUAGCCUACCAAGGCAAUGAUCUAUAGCAGAUCUGAGAGGAUGAUCAGCCACACUGGAACUGAGAUACGGUCCAGACUCCUACGGGGAGGCAGCAGUGGGGAAUAUUGGACAAUGGGCGAAAGCCUGAUCCAGCCAUGCCGCAUGAGUGAAGAAGG
rnacentral:rRNA from 1 species